rnacentral:rRNA from 1 species
UAGGGUAAUGAAGCGAACCGGGAGAACUGAAACAUCUAAGUACCCCGAGGAAAAGAAAUCAAACGAGAUUCCCCCAGUAGCGGCGAGCGAACGGGGAGCAGCCCAGGACCUUAAUCAGCAUCAGUGUUAAGAGAACAGUCUGGAAAGGCUGGCCACAGCAGGUGAUAGCCCUGUAUCUGAAAGCACUGGUGUUGUGAGUCCGAUGAGUAAGGCGGGACACGUGUUAUCCUGUCUGAAUACGGGGGGACCAUCCUCCAAGGCUAAAUACUCCUGACUGACCGAUAGUGAACCAGUACCGUGAGGGAAAGGCGAAAAGAACCCCGGCGAGGGGAGUGAAAAAGAACCUGAAACCGUGUACGUACAAGCAGUGGGAGCACCCUUCGGGGUGUGACUGCGUACCUUUUGUAUAAUGGGUCAGCGACUUAU